rnacentral:tRNA from 1 species
GCAGUGGUGGUUCAGUGGUAAAAUUUUUGCCUUUCUUGGGUUCAAUUCCCAGCCAAUGCA